UCCUACAACGUUGUACCAACAUUGCAAAAAGGUUGAGGAUUCUACGUUGUUGCUAAAGGUUGUCACAACGAUGUCAUAAGGUUGCCAUUUAAACAUCAUGAGGGUCGCAUGCUUUAGGUUGUGCUUAGGUGGCGUGGACGACCACUGUACAACAUUUACUGGUCACAGCUGAAUCAGUUUAAAUUUCAACAAGCCGUCGUCUCAUUCAUCAACGACCGAGGAGACGCUAUUUUCACAUGGAGGUAAUCUUCUAUUGAUAAUUUCUGGAUUUUAAUUAUGCAAUGUUUUCAGCUGUUGAAUUCACCUCAGAUCAGUGUUGCUGUAAUUCCCGAUCUAUGGAAAGAAGAAUUGGAUGAGCGAGCAACGCCACAACUACAGGGCCUCUUCUUUCUCUUC